ACUCCUACGGGAGGCAGCAGUGGGGAAUAUUGCACAAUGGGCGCAAGCCUGAUGCAGCCAUGCCGCGUGUAUGAAGAAGGCCUUCGGGUUGUAAAGUACUUUCAGCGGGGAGGAAGGCGGUGAGGUUAGUAACCUUACCGAUUGACGUUACCCGCAGAAGAAGCACCGGCUAACUCCGUGCCAGCAGCCGCGGUAAU
rnacentral:rRNA from 1 species